rnacentral:rRNA from 1 species
AUUGAACGCUGGCGGCAGGCCUAACACAUGCAAGUCGAGCGGAUGAAGGGAGCUUGCUCCUGGAUUCAGCGGCGGACGGGUGAGUAAUGCCUAGGAAUCUGCCUGGUAGUGGGGGAUAACGUCCGGAAACGGGCGCUAAUACCGCAUACGUCCUGAGGGAGAAAGUGGGGGACCUUGGGACCUCAGCCUUUAGGAGGGGCCUAGGUCGGAUUAGCUAGUUGGUGGGGUAAAGGCCUACAAAGGCGACGAUCCGUAACUGGUCUGAGAGGAUGAUCAGUCACACUGGAACUGAGACACGGUCCAGACUCCUACGGGAGGCAGCAGUGGGGAAUAUUGGACAAUGGGCGAAAGCCUGAUCCAGCCAUGCCGCGUGUGUGAAGAAGGUCUUCGGAUUGUAAAGCACUUUAAGUUGGGAGGAAGGGCAGUAAGUUAAUACCUUGCUGUUUUGACGUUACCAACAGAAUAAGCACCGGCUAACUUCGUG